rnacentral:lncRNA from 1 species
UAAAUAAGAAUAAUAUUGUAAUUUCAAACUAUUUACUCCAAAUCCAAGACAAAGUAAAUACAUAAAUUGGAUUAUGAUUUUCAUUCUAUGCUUCUAUUUCAGUGCAAGUAAACAAUUUACUUCCACUCUCACUCCAAUCCAAAAAGUAAAUGCUACCUAUAGGUAUUGAAUCUUGAUAAGUUAAGUUCACUUGUGUGUCAAACGUGAUCUUGGGCCCCAUCAUAUCAUUCUAAAACGAUGCUUGAUGUUAGAAAUAAAAACCUACAUCUUUAUUUUUGCUAUUUUAAUUGAUGGGUGAUUAUUUGCAAAUUGCUUAAAUUUUGGGUUAAUAUAUUAUGUAGGUUGAAAGCUCGUUUAAUCCAUAUAUUUUGAAGUUAGUGUCCGUUUAGUCUCUAUAUUUUUAAAAAUACCUCAAACCAUCCAUACCAUUAAAUUAUUGACACUCUUGCCAUUAUCUUUUGUUCCUUUUAACUUAUUUUUACAAUAUUACCC